GAGAAUGUGAGACACACCCAGAGAAAGCGGAUGAAAAAAGGAGAGACAGGGCCAGAUGUAUGUUUUUGUGCCCACAUCAGGCAUAUUUCAUUCGCAAAGUGCACGUAAAAGCAUGGCGAGGUAUGUACAAACAGGCCGCACUGAGGAAAAAGCGUAGACUGCCUGUCGUGGGAGCUGCAAAUGGCUAUUUGCGCUUUUCCGUGUCAUGCAUAUGCAUUCAUAGGAGGGUCAGGGGAAAGUGGGAGUAUCGCGCA